AGAAUCAACGCUGGCGGCGUGCCUAACACAUGCAAGUCGAACGCGAAAGCCCCGAAAGGGGCAAGUAGAGUGGCAAACGGGUGAGUAACGCGUGGGUGACCUACCUUCGAGCGGGGGAUAACAUUCCGAAAGGGAUGCUAAUACCGCAUAACAUUCCGCUUUUGAAGAGGUGGAAAUCAAAGCUGGGGAUCGCAAGACCCGGCACUUGAAGAGGGGCUCGCGUCUGAUUAGCUAGUUGGUGGGGUAACGCCUACCAAGGCAUCGAUCAGUA
rnacentral:rRNA from 1 species